rnacentral:rRNA from 1 species
UACGUAGGAGGCGAGCGUUGUCCGGAAUCACUGGGCGUAAAGGGCGCGUAGGCGGCCUGGCAAGUGGAAGGUGAAAUCCCUCGGCUUAACCGAGGAACUGCCCUCCAAACUGCUUGGCUUGAGUCCGGGAGAGGUGAGUGGAAUUCCCAGUGUAGCGGUGAAAUGCGUAGAUAUUGGGAGGAACACCAGUGGCGAAGGCGGCUCACUGGACCGGAACUGACGCUGAGGCGCGAAAGCGUGGGGAGCAAACGGG